AUUGAACGCUGGCGGCAGGCCUAACACAAGAAAGUCGAGAGAGCGGCGGACGGGUGAGUAAUGUCUGGGAAACUGCCUGAUGGAGGGGGAUAACUACUGGAAAAGGUAGCUAAAACCGCAUACCAUCAGAUGUGAACAGAUGGGAUUAGCUCGUAGGUGGGGUGACAGCUCACCUAUCCGACGAUCCCUAGCUGGUCUGAGAGGAUGACCAGCCACACUGGAACUGAGACACGGUCCAGCCUCCUACGGGAGGCAGCAGUGGGGAAUAUUGCACAAUGGGCGCAGGCCUGAUGCAGCCAUGCCGCGUGUGUGAAGAAGGCCUGCGGGUUGUAAAGCACUUUCAGCGGGGAGGCGUUACCCGCAGAAGAAGCACCGGCUAACGCCGUGCCAGCCGCCGCGGUAAUAC
rnacentral:rRNA from 1 species